GAUGAACGCUAGCUACAGGCUUAACACAUGCAAGUCGAGGGACCGGCGCACGGGUGAGUAACACGUAUCCAAACUGACCUUUACUCGGGGCUAGCCUAUCGAAAGAAAGAUUAAUACCCGAUAUAAAGGAUGGGGAUGCGUUCCAUUAGGUUGUUGGUGAGGUAACGGCUCACCACGCCUCCGAUGGAUAGGGGUUCUGAGAGGAAGGUCCCCCACAUUGGAACUGGGACACGGCCCAAACUCCUACGUGAGGCAGCAGUGAGGAAUACUUGUCAAGGGGCUCUAGCCUUAACCAGCCAAGUAGCGUGAAGGAUGAAGGCUUAUUGGACGUAAACUUCUGUUAUAUAAGAAUAUGUAUUAUAUGAAUAAGGAUCGGCUAACUCCGUGCCAGCAGCCGCGGUAAUUC
rnacentral:rRNA from 1 species